AAUGUAGAAUAACACGUAGCACGGAUAUUACGGAUGUCGUUAUGGCUUGUUUAUAACAGUUUUCUUUGGAAAAUCGAAACAGACAUGAGGAAACUCAAGUAUUCAACCCAUGUUAUAAACAGGCACGAACUAAUGCACUAAAUGGUUAACCCACAUUCAAGUUUGAUACCAAGAUUAAUUUAAAUUUUCUUUGAUAUAAAGAAACAUCCACGGAGGGAUUUACAUGUUUAGCAGGUUGGAUGGUCAUCAAAUUGCCCAUCGGAUCAACCAUAAGAUUUUAGAAAUGAUUUUUAAGCCAUGAACUAUUAUUUAUGGAUGAAAAACCCAAAUAUUUUAGUUAUAAAAUUUAAAUGUUUUCCUAUAUAUCACUAUACAGAGCUCUUUGUCUCAAAGAGAUAAAUAUAGUCCUAAAAUGGCCACGACAUUCCAGCCGUUUUAAGAUUGCAAAGUUUGCAUAUUAUUAAUACAAAAGAGACUGACUUUCAUUGAUGGUUUUCAUGCAGGUACAAGAAACAUCCCACGCCACAGAGAUACCUUCUGAAGCAGGAGAGUCCAGCCGCCCAAACAGAUAUCCGGGUAUUCUUGCCUUCCGGGUUCUUCAAUGAUUCAUGCAGAUCCCUGCACGCUAGAGUUUUGUCAUCACGUGACUGUAACAGCAUGACGUCAUACUUGACCGUGUGUGUGAAUGAACACUGUAGUGUAGCCAGUCAUAUUUUGAAUGCAUAGUCAAAAAUAAUCAAAAGUGAGUAGGAAAAAACACAUGAACAUUAUUCUGAUUCCUACCUACGCUGGAGAGAUUUGGUAUCAGUUUGACGUUGCAGGUAUGAUCAGGUUUUCCCAAUAAUCUAACCAAGGAGGUCUAUUUCCGUUUCGAAGUAAGUGACACACAACUAAAGAACAUGCACGUACGCAUAACAUUUUACUUAACGUCUAGUACCUUUAUGUACGCGUGCAUUUGUAAUAAUUCUAUAUUUUCUACAUUUCAUUUCUUACCAACGAUGAUAGUAAUUGAAAUCCCAAAACCAAUGGUAAAACAGUGUGAUCUCUUUUUCUUUUUGCAGUAAAGUUCAUAUCGUGUUUGGCCUUCAUCGCCAUUCAAGUAAUCAAAUUGGUAAUCUAAUAUCUAAAUAGGAGCAAACAAAGUUUUUAUGAUAUCUGACAAUGCUGAAGCAAACGAGGUUUAUAUAUUUGAAACUUUCCAUUUUGGUUGCUUAACGUAGGGGACUGUAAGACGUGGAUCUAUAAGGUAAGAAAGUAAAACAAAUGUGUAAUAACUGGCAUAUACGUCAGAUUAUUUUAUCAAAUAUGAGACAAAGAGAGACAAACAGUUUUAAGGUAAGAACAACCAUCUACUUAAAUGUAUUAUGCAUCUUGAUCUGUGUACAUGAAAGUGAAACGAAUAAAACAAUCAUUGCCAAUA